rnacentral:rRNA from 1 species
AACGCGAAGAACCUUACCUACGUUGAACUACGCAGGAAAAGCCGUGGAGACACGGUGUCCGAAAGGGCCUGCGAUAGGUGGUGCAUGGCUGUCGUCAGCUCGUGUCGUGAGAUGUUGGGUUAAGUCCCGCAACGAGCGCAACCCUUGUCCUAUGUUGCCAGCGGGUAAAGCCGGGGACUCGUAGGAGACUGCCGGGGUCAACUCGGAGGAAGGUGGGGAUGAUGUCAAGUCUGCAUGCCCCUUACGCGUAGGGCUGCUAACAUGCUACAAUGGCCGGUACAAAGGGCUGCUAAUCCGCGAGGAGGAGCGAAUCCCAAAAAGCCGGUCUCAGUUCGGAUUGGAGUCUGCAACCCGACUCCAUGAAGUCGGAGUCGCUAGUAAUCCCGGAUCAGCUACGCCGGGGUGAAUACGUUCCCGGGCCUUGUA